UGUUUAUAGCUCAAAAGACUGUUUCCAGAAGUAAACAUUUAUUGUCCCGAGAUGAUCGAGUUUUGGUCAGGAAAAUGCGAUAAAGCUGUCGUCAAGGGUGGAGAAAAUUUGUUGUGAGGCAGCAUUGGGUUCCAGUCUAAGAGGCCGGCCAAUUCUGUGAUUCCUGGACGGGGUUCCAGAUGAUCUGUGGCAUUGUGGGAUCCCUGUUGUCUGAGUGGAGCGGACCUGUGCAGAGAGGAUGAACUGUCAAAGACUGGUCCAUGAGGGCGCUGCAGAGGCGGAGCUCAGAGGGUGGGAGGAGGGACAGCCCGUCGGAAGCAAGCCGUCAUGCAAAGAUUGUGGUUGAUGAUUGUCGUUAAGGAACCUUUGAGAGUCAUUGCCAAUCAGAGGUCACAUGACAAGGAUUUGCAGUCGAUGACCACGAAGAAAUGUUGAAUGAGCUCCAUUGGCAGUCAGACAUCACAUGACAAGGUAUUGGCAUCAGCAAAUGGGU